rnacentral:rRNA from 1 species
UACGUAGGGUGCGAGCGUUAAUCGGAAUUACUGGGCGUAAAGCGUGCGCAGGCGGUUCGUCAAGUCUGAUGUGAAAGCCCCGGGCUCAACCUGGGAACUGCAUUGGAUACUAGCGAGCUUGAGUGUGGCAGAGGGGGGUGGAAUUCCACGUGUAGCAGUGAAAUGCGUAGAUAUCUGGAGGAAUACCGGUGGCGAAGGCGGCAUCCUGGACCAACACUGACACUGAGGAGCGGAAGCCAGGGGAGCAAACGGG